UACGGGGGGAGCAAGCGUUGUUCGGAUUUACUGGGCGUAAAGGGCGCGUAGGCGGUCAACACAAGUCGGUUGUGAAAUCUCCGGGCUUAACUCGGAAAGGUCAACUGAUACUGUGCGACUAGAGUGCAGAAGGGGCAACUGGAAUUCUCGGUGUAGCGGUGAAAUGCGUAGAUAUCGAGAGGAACACCUGCGGCGAAGGCGGGUUGCUGGGCUGACACUGACGCUGAUGCGCGAAAGCCAGGGGAGCGAACGGG
rnacentral:rRNA from 1 species